AUGAGAAGAUGGAAAUGGCUGCUCCCUCAAAUGUCGUACAGAGGUAGAGUUUUAGUUUUAAAUAAUCUUGUUGGAUCCCUCUUGUGGCAUCGUCUGUCGUGUGUGGACCCCCCCUCUGGCCUACUAGCGGAAAUCCAGAAAAAAAUUGUUGAUUUCUUUUCGGGGAGUCUGCACUGGGUGCCACAGGGGGUGCUAUACUUGUCGAGAGAGGAGGGGGGACAGGGCCUCAUCCACCUGGCCAGCAGAACGGCCACUUUCAGACUGCAGUUCAAAAAAAGGUUUCUGACAGGGCCGUCCGACCUGGUGUGGAGGAACGUGACCAGCUGUAUCCUCAGAGAUGUGAGUAAAUUGGGGCUGGAUACUGCUCUGUUUUUAACUGAUUCAAAAUUUUUAAAGUUGAAUGGGCUUCCUCCUUUUUAUCAGGGCGUUUUUAAGUCUUGGGCCCUUUUUAAUCACAAAACAUGUGAACAUUUUAACUCUCUGCACUGGUUACUAAAGGAGCCUUUGAUCCAUUGGAGCAGGCUGGACGUCUGUAGCGUGACGCCCGGGCUGCUGACAUCACUGUAUAGGUCAAAGACUGUGAGCCUGCAGCGGCUGGUGGAGGCUGCAGGGCCGGAGCUGACGGGGGCCGGGGCCCUGGGCUCGCUCCUGGGCAUUCGAUCGGUCAGGGUGGUUCAGAAGCUGCUGGAGCUCUGGAGGCAGAAGCUCUGUGGGACGGAGAGGAGCCUCCUCAUGAAGUACUCCCGAGGAGAGGAAAUACCAGACCCCACGGACCCUUUCCCAGACAUCAUCCUGAGCCCAGCGUUAGGUGAAGAGACCGGCCCCCUGUUAGCUGUCAGCAGCCCGGGCAAGCUCAGCCUGCACCGGGCCGACAAGGCUACAUUAGACUGGAGCGACUCUACAAUAAGACUCAACUCACUGUACACCGCCAAAUGUAUUCGGACAACCUCCAUCACGACAAGAAUGCCCUCACCACUGCCAAAACCUUAUACUACUCCAACCUCAUCAACACUGGUACAGGCAACAGCAGAGUCCUCUUCUCAACAGUCAGCCACUUACUUCAGCCUCCUAAAUCUCUCCCUCCAGACAUUUCCACCACCCAAUGCACUGCGUUCCUUGACUUCUUCAGCUCUAAAAUCAACACCAUUCACCAACAACUGGCCUCAUCUCGCACCCCCUCUGAUGACCCACCCUGGAUGA
rnacentral:lncRNA from 1 species